UUCGUUUUUUAAUUAAAAACUAGAAUGAAAGGUUAUACAUUCAAAUUUCUUUAUUAAUUUCUAAUUAAUAAUUUAUAUUAAAUAUAAAAAUAUACUUAUAAAAAAAAAAGACGACAAGACCCUAUUAAAUUUUACUUAUAGUUUAACUGGGGAAGUUUUUUAAUUAAAAUUUUUUAAAUUUAAUAAAUAAAAAUCUAAUAAAAUUAAAACUUUAACAAAUUACUAUAGGGAUAACAGCAUUAUAUUUUUUAAAAGUUCAUAUUAAAAAAAAUGAUUAUGACCUCGAUGUUGAAUUAUAUUUUCUAUAUUUAAUGCAAUAAUUAUAAAAGUAGAUCUGUUCGAUCUUUAAAAUAUUACAUGAUUUGAGUUCAAACCGGUGUAAACCAGGUUGGUUUCUAUCUUUUUAUAUAUUUUUCCAGUACGAAAGGACAAACAAAUUUUUAUUUUAAUAAAUUAGCAAAUAAAUGCAUUAGAUUUAGAAUCUAAAUAUAUUUAAUA
rnacentral:rRNA from 1 species